CAGCAGCCGCGGUAAUACGUAGGGGGCGAGCGUUAUCCGGAUUUACUGGGCGUAAAGCGCGUUAAGGCGGCCGACAAAGUUGGUGGUGAAAUUUCAGGGCUCAACUCUGAAACUGCCUCCAAUACUGGUCGGCUUGAGUGCGAUAGAGGAAGGUGGAAUUCCCGGUGUAGUAGUGAGAUACGUAGAUAUCGGGAGGAACACCAGUGGCGAAGGCGGCCUUCUGGCUCGCAACUGACGCUGUAGCGCGAAAGCGUGGGGAGCGAACGGGAUUAGAUACCCCGGUAGUCCACGCCCUAAACGAUGUGCACUAGGUGUUGGGCGUAUUGACGCGCUCAGUGCUGCAGCUAACGCAUUAAGUGCACCGCCUGGGGAGUACGGUCGCAAGAUUAAAACUCAAAGGAAUUGACGGA
rnacentral:rRNA from 1 species